UGGUAAAAAAAAAAAAAAACUCCCCUUCCUGUUUCGUUGGUCUGGAAACCCCUUGCAUUCCUAACGAAGACGAACACGCGGACUGAAUUUAAGGUGAUUCUCCUGACAAUAGGCUACACUGGAUAAAGGUUUGUGAUGACGAUGAUGCUGCAGCCAUCCAAGAGGCCAUCACUUCAUUUGUGCUCAACAUCUUUAUGGUCAGCAAAGCCAGGGAUGGAGGUCUCGAGAAGAAAGUUGGAAUAGCCAUUGAGGGAGCGGAGGUCCUUUUUUGCAUUCCCAGUGUAGCACAUGCUUGCUCCUACCUUAUGGGCCUUAUUUAUGCUUUGGAACUAAGCUACCCAGAGAAACUUAAAUACACCUUUGAGGUAUUUCAGAAGAUCUUCCUGGAGCUGGAGGAUGUUAACAAAAACAUGUCCUCCAAAAUCCACGAUCACAAGAUCAGCUUACUGGCCUAAAAGCGAUACAGACAUUGUUGAAUGUAGAGGGUUUGAGUCCCUCUGGUAAAGUUUUACUGUUCAAUUUCUCAGGUCUUUUUCAGUGCACUUUCUCAAGUCACACUAAUCCUAUUUCAUAUAGGGACCAUGUUUGUGAGUGUUAAUGUUAAAGGUGCAGUUGAAGGAAAGAUGACAGUUAAGAAGUCAGAAACUAUAUUGCACAAUGUGAGUUUUUUUCAAUAGAAACCCAAAGAAACUGAAAUGUAGGUUUCUUAGAAGAUCUCCAUUGUCACACGGGGAUCAUACAUAUGAUCAUACAUGUGCAAGCGUGUUGUUUUAAAGUCUUAAGAGUAUGUUACUGUACAGGACUGAAAAACGCAAUUUUAUAGAAAAUAUUCUGUAAAUGUGUCUGAAUGGUUUCUUAUGAAGACAAUAAAGCCUGUCAACUUUCACUUAA